AUGAUCAGGAUGCAUUAUUUCAGCCAGGCAUGGUGGUGCACUUGUGAUCUCAGCUAUUCAGGAGGCUGAAGGAGGAUGAUUGCUUGAGUCUAUGAGUUCUAGAACCGCAGAGGUUACAUAGUGAGACCUUGUCUCCAAAAAGACAAACGAAGACAUGCUAUUUCCGAAGAUUUCAUGCAAGUCUUACCAUUUGUAUAAAAUUUCAUACCAUGCAAUACAUACCCAAUCUUAUUAAUGAAUACCUGAACAUAUGAUAAAAGCAUAACAUGAAUAUGCAAAUAAUGAAUCCCCAAUUCUGGAAAAUGAGAAGAGCAGGUUAGCAUCUGAGAGCCACCCCUGGCUUGGAGCAAAUGCUCCAGCAACAUCGUAAAGCAAAUGUGUAUUCUCUGGGGAAGACAUCUAGCACCCCAGUGGCUUUACAGUAUUGGCCUCAACACUGUUGAGUGCUGUGUGUAUGCUCCUUGAAUUAGGACAGAGUUGUCCCAGCUCUGCACUGUGGCCAAUCCUUACCAUUUUCUAUUGCCAGAAGAACCCUCCGAUCACCCUCUCUCCAGCCAACAAAAGCUGCUGCACUCCCAGAAUGCCCGUGGGUAGUCAGAGGUGAAGAGCCCCAUGUGUGUGCUCAGCUUGGCUGCCAUUUUGCCUAUUGUUGACUAAGAGAAAGUAUGACAUCUUUGAUCAAAUACUCCAUGGCUUGGCCAACAGUGGGACUUCCAAGGGGAAAAUCCUCCCUGCCUGAGAAAUCCCCGGGAAUGACUAUCAGAAACCAAAAGGAGACAAGAUCCUAGAAUCCCUUGCUUACAGGUAGAAGAAGCAUGACUUAGAGAGCAGCUGGGGAUACCCAGGUGACCUUGAGAAUGGACUGAAUGAGCACAGACAGGUGACACCUCAGGUUGGUGCUGAUUUAACAUGUUUCCUCCUAAGGUAAGAUUUUCUUAUGGGGGUUUUAUUUUUUUCAGUGGAUGUUGGUGAAGCAACUGCUUCUGUAAUCUCAUUUAAUCAUUACAAGUCCCCUUGUGGGUGGGAGUUGGAGGGUGGUGAUCAGUAAGAGCUGCAGGCACUCAGAAGUCAGCAAGAGCUUGGUGAGGACUCUAUUCCUUGGUACCAGAAUGAUUGGCAUCAUGGCAAGGAGCUGCCCUCUACGACCUCUGGCCAGUGCUAGGGAGAUCUAGCUGCUUCCAACCUUGCCAAAUAGGAAGGGUUUAGGGAAGAUAGAGCUCACACCUGUCUCUCCUUCUUCCAACCUCCUGGUGGGGGGGGGAUCCCCAUUGGUUCACUCUAACUAGGGGCCGGAAAGCAAAGGAGGCUGGUGAUCCUGUCCCCAGAGACCACCCUGACACAGAACAGGACCUGGUCUUCUGCAGGAGGAUUGGCAGAGCCAGAAAGCAGAAGCCAGAAAUCCAUGCCAAGCAAGAGGCUCUUUAACCUCUCACAGCCUUAGGAACUAGGAAACCAAGUUUCUGGUCCCCAAUGAGUAGUCGUUCAAGCUAUGUAUCUAGAUCUCUCUCAGUUCUCUCCUUCAGCAGUCACAAAGAAGAUAUAGGCCAAAGGAGCUGGCUGGGCAGAGGAGUACUCACACUCAAUGAGGAUGGGGAGAGGGUAGAGGGCAAACCUGAGUUCUUCCACCCUGAAGACAAGGGACCAGCCCUUUCCUCCAAGACAGAUCUAUCCUAUGUCCCGAGGCAGGUGUGAGAGACUAGCAUUCGCUGAGUAUCUAUUACACGUGAGUACAGAGGUCGGCUCUUGGUGUAUGCUGCCUCUGUGAAUCCUUUGGUGAUUAACUCACGAAAAUAAACUGCUUCAGAGCCAGCUGUGUUUGGAGGACUGUGGCAGACCUGGCUUUUGGGAACCCGCAACACUAACAAAAUUUAACUUCAAAGCCUUCUUUCCUCUUGGAUUCCUGCAAGGCCCAUCUCAAGCCCUUGGACCAGGCAUCCAGAUAUUCCUAUCAGGAGGAAAUACAACACCUGAUACAUUCAUUCACUAAGGCGUUACUUAGUGUGUGACUCCUCCCAGGAGACUGCGUUUCCAAGAGGGUCAGACAGUGGGUGGUGCUGAGCCCAAAGGGGUGAAUCAGUAAUGGUGGAAUCCCAGGCAUUCAGAGAGGUCAUGUUUCUAGGGUGGGUUCCUUUCUGACACUGUUCAUAUUGUACAAAGGCGGCAGCUACCUAUUGUCCCCUGGAAGCAGGUGUGGCGCUGGUGGGGAAGCAGAGGCACCUCCACACUGAGGCCAAGGGUGUCUGAUUUUCCAAGAGACAGAUGUGAAGGAGAAGCAGCUUAGAAAUCUGCACAGCUUUUGCAGAUGUAGGGAAAAAUUUCUACCCUGCUCUCUGAAAUUGGGUUCUCCCCCCACCCUGCAAAAAAGGUGCUGUCAUUAUGCAAUGUCCUCGUUGGCAGAGGUGUCAGAGCCCUUGUGCUGUUUCUAAGAAAGAUCUGUGGCCUUGGAGUGGAAACAGGGCUACUGAAUAGAUGCCUGGGUGCCAAAGCAGGGAGCCAAAAGAAGGUGGAGAAGAGGAAAGUCCUGAGUUUUUCAGGGCAGCCAGAUGGCAGCCCCGAGAUUCUGCUGCAGCCUUGGGGUCAGAUUGGGGUCAGAGCUGGGCUGAGGCAGGAACGAGCCAGGCCUGGCUAAGCAGGUGAUGUGGUGGGAGGCUAUGAGGAAAACCACCCUCCGUGGGAGCUGGACGCUUGAUCAAGUCCACAACCUAUGGACUUAUAAAAGCCAGGCUGGGGGGAAGUGCUUUACCAAUUAACUUAAUGAUAUAAUCAGCAAUGCUAAUCACCACUACCUUUUAUUGAGCAUUGCCUCCAAAGCCAUGCCCCUUUCCUAAACAAUUUAGUUGUAUCCUAUGAAAGUCUUGUUCAUUUACCCAAUCAUAAUUUAUUGAGCUCUACUGUGAGUCAGGCACUAUUGUGGAAACAGACAAAAUCCCUCUUCCAGAUGACAUGCAAUUAACAAAACACAACUCUAGGGGGUACUGUAUACACAAAGCUACACUUUGUGAAUGAUGCAUCCAGCUUUCCAAUAACCUGGCAGCCCCUGUCUCUGGAGCUCAUAUUCUAAUGGCAGUGUCAUGAUACUAAAGAGGCGGGUGCUAUUAUCUAUCCCCCAUUACUGGGUGGGAAAUGGAGGCACAGGAGGGUGUCACUUGCUAAGGUUUUCAGCCCCCAAUGACUACACUGUGACUUAAUCGCAUUUGGCCUGAUCUUGCGAUUCACCUGUGCCAGGUGCUUGCUGUUCUCUCCCUGAUGGGAAAAGGAAGGAGGGAGUAACCUGGCUGGCAAGGUAAAAGUUGGGUUGGUUGACCUAGUGGAGGCACCGUGUUCUGAGUGGGUGGAGUAGAACAGAGUCAGCCCAUGGUAACAGGGUCCCUCCCCGAGGCUACCUUAGCUCUGGGAAGACUUGAUGAAAGCAGCUCCCUCCAUGGGAACAUUGGGAAAAUGGAUCUUUUUCUUUGCUAGUUGAGGGAGUAUUCAAAGAAGCCCAUCUCUGGGUUGAUCUUAUGGCCUCGAGGCUAGAGUCAUCGAUUGGUCCACGCAUUUAUUUAUUACUUGUUCAUCAUUUAUUAAAUGUCUUCAUUAUGUUUUGAGGCAGAGAGGUAAUUUGAGGGGCUUAGAGGUUUGCAUACAUAGCUUCCAAGUCCCUUUGGUUCAGGACAAAGUAGAAAGGGUUGUGAGGCAUCUCGGGUCAGUUUCCUGGCCAGAGGGACUGAUCUUGUGCAGUGAGAACCUGAGGCUGUACUCUCCUCUAGGGGCCUCGCCUUGCUGGAGAUGGACCUAGUUUUCACAGUAGUGAGUCUUCCCUUUGGGUCUGGCAUGGUGCUAUCCUGGAUAUGAAAGGAGAUCCUUGUCUAUACUCUUUUGCCUUUGCUCAAGCAUCUACCUUAAGGAGGAGAAAAGAUGGCUUCUGGUUUCUUGCCCACUUCUUUUCUGCUAUGUCUCCCUUCUCUCAUCCAGGAUGCUCCUGCAUGUGCACUUGUGGCUUCUGAGAGCUGGACAGGGCCAUUGAGACAGAAUACCCACCCCUUAGGACUUAGGACAUUUUAAAGAGCAUCUCUGUGUGGGCAAAACCAAAUGGAACACAUGCAAGGCCUGGGAAGGCUGACAUCUAAAUUUUCCCCUGUGGUGCCCAUCUUUUAUUUACUGUUUGGAUCUCUCCUCUCUGUUCUCCGUUCUUCGGUCACUUGGAGCCCAGGUCUCAGGUAAGAGAAAGGAUUAUUAUGGUGAACUAGUAGGUGACACUUGGAAGAAGGCAAUAAAGCCAGAAAAAAAAGAUCAUGUGGUUUCUUCCUUGGGCUCCAUAUGGUUUACGGGAAAUAUGGGACUCUGCCUCUGGUUCCUCCAGAUUUUAUCAGUCUUUGUCCUUGUGCUUAUACCAGAGAAGGAAUUCAGGACGAGAGUUGGGAGAAGGAGAUCUGAGAGAUUACUGACAGAAUAUUGGAUAUUGAGGACGUGGGCUAGGGAGCAGAGGAUGUUCAUGAGAAACUGGGUUUGUUCAGAGCCAUUUUCAUCUUCCUCUCCAUUUUGCCUAAAACUGGUAUUGCCCAAAGAGCCUAUUUUUUGAGAAAGACAUUUUUGUGGUUAUUCAGGCCAGAGAUGGCAAAUAAAUGCCUACCACAGACGCUGCCAUCUGUGUCCCCACUCCUAAGCAAAGGCAGACACUAGUUUUCCUUCCUACUGUGGUCAUAGACUCAGAUCCUUGUUCAACACAGCCCCCUAUUGUCCAGCUCUAUCUUCCAGAGGUGAUAUUUGUAGUGAACCCAUUUCCUAAGCCUAUUCAGGCCCCUUUGCUAUGAAUUCUCUGCAGCUGAUUUUUUUAAGGAGUCCCAUCUUAUUGCUGUGACUUCUGCAGAAGUUGGAAGCUCAAAAGACAGUUCUGUGUUGAUUCACAGAAAGCCCUGUAGAUUGGAUGGCUUGCAGUAUACACUAUGACUGACUCAUGGUAUCUAUUUGUCUCCUCCACCGACCAAGCUGGUUCUCGGGGCUUGGCAGGAGUUCUGGCUGAGCCCUUGCAUUGCUCCACAUUCCCUCUAUUACUAAGGAGGCGUUGUUUCUUAAUUACGAGGUACUAGAUACCAGAAGUGCUUUCUUUUGUUUUAGUGGGUUUAGCAAAGGACUUAUGAAUAUUUCUUGACGUUGACAUUCACUGUCUGGUUCUUUUAGGAGCACAAAGAUCACUGAGCUGGCAAUAGGGGCAAAUUAAAGUCACAUGUGAAUUGGGGUGGAGAGGGACUGUGCACAGGGUUGCUUACAACACCUACGCUUAUGGAAUUCCACCUCAGCAUCAUUCCAUUCGGACUCUGUGACCGAAGUCCUCCAAGUCUGCUGGUCCAUUGGAAGUCAAAAACAACCAGGAUGUGGGAGAAAUACAGUAAAUAGCUUAAGCAAAAUUGUGGUAAUUGAUGACGAAAAUGAAUGAAAUUAUAAUAAUCACUAAUAGGGACCUUUCUCUUAUUUGACAUUGCAAAAUAGAUGAAGACCUCCCAUCUGAGGUUAAACGGGCGUUAAUACUUCAGAGUGUCUAAGGAGCAGAAAAUUUGUUUACUGGUUAGGGAGUCACCACGAAAUUGCAUUCUUUUGCAUUAAAUCCAAGAGCGCUUUUACAAAAUAAUCAGUAGUUUCUCGUAUAUGCUACAAUAAUUAAUGGGAAUUAGAGGCUGGUUGGAAUUGUAGUUAGUGGACAGGCAGUUUCUGUACACUUUGGAGAAACUUGUGUCUGAGGGCAAAGUGAAUGUCUAAUUCUGGUGGUCUGUGCCAACUGUUCCUCAAAAACAGCACGGGGCUUUAGUGGUCCUUUACCUUAGCACCGUCACUGCUACGAAGCCUGAUCCUGAAAGGUCAGCUGAUCUUUAUGAGCUUCAAUUUCCUUCUCUGUACAGUGAUGGGGUAAUUCAGGCCAUCAAGGUAUUUAAGUAAGGAAAAUGUAUGCUUGCAGCAAACAGA